UACAGAGGUCUCGAGCGUUGUUCGGAUUCAUUGGGCGUAAAGGGUGCGUAGGUGGCGUGGUAAGUCUGGUGUGAAAUCUCGGAGCUCAACUCCGAAACUGCACUUGAUACUGCGGUGCUCGAGUACUGGAGAGGAGAUUGGAAUUUACGGUGUAGCAGUGAAAUGCGUAGAUAUCGUAAGGAAGACCAGUGGCGAAGGCGGGUCUCUGGGCCGAUACUGACGCUGAGGAGCGAAAGCGUGGGGAGCGAACAGG
rnacentral:rRNA from 1 species